CACCCACAUCGCAUCGCGACUCGGCGCGACUCGACUAGACUCGACUGUACUGGCGGUAUACCGUACUGGGCCUACUGUACUACGGGUAUUGAAAUUGGACUGUUGACAACCAAAGAUGAGUAUCAGCAUUUCUGAAUUUAGAUGUUUGUUACCUAACAAGAAGUUUUAAAGAAAAUUGAGAAAAUACCUGGAGAAUAAAUAACAAGAUAAGGAGACUUCAAAUGAGAGCAUAAGUACAGACAUAAAAGGUUUUGCUGUGUUGAGCUCUUUUAAAAACAACAAUGGGAAGGCAGUUAAACCAGUUUGGUCUCCUGUUAUGGAAGAACUUCAUUCUUCAGUUUCGGAGGCCAGUUGGAACAACCUUUGAGAUUCUGGUUCCUGUAGCCUGUGCAUCGUUACUCCUUUUAGCAAGGUACAGUACAUGUACAAUCUAGGCAAAUUAAUUUUCCCCUUAUAGUCCAGGAUUUUAAUUUUUCACUUGGA